UACGUAGGGGGCUAGCGUUGUCCGGAUUUAUUGGGCGUAAAGAGCGUGUAGGCGGCCAGAUAGGUCUGCUGUGAAAACUCGAGGCUCAACCUCGAGCUGUCGGCGGAAACCAUUUGGCUAGAGUCCGGAAGAGGAGAGUGGAAUUCCUGGUGUAGCGGUGAAAUGCGCAGAUAUCAGGAGGAACACCGAUUGCGAAGGCAGCUCGCUGGGACGUAACUGACGCUGAGACGCGAAAGCGUGGGGAGCAAACAGG
rnacentral:rRNA from 1 species